CGGUGUUUAACUGGCGUGAUGUGGGACGUCCUACCGGUGGGCUUAGCCUCGCGAGGGGCGGCCCAACUAAUAUCCCGUCGCGGUGCUCUUUACUGAGUGUCGAGUCGGGCCGGUACGUUUACUUUGAACAAAUUAGAGUGCUUAAAGCAGGCUAUCCUCGCCUGAAUACUGCGUGCAUGGAAUAAUGGAAUAGGACCUCGGUUCUAUUUUGUUGGUUUUCGGAACCCCGAGGUAAUGAUUAAUAGUGACAGAUGGGGGCAUUCGUAUUGCGACGUUAGAGGUGAAAUUCUUGGAUCGUCGCAAGACGGACAGAAGCGAAAGCAUUUGCCAAAAAUGUUUUCAUUAAUCAAGAACGAAAGUUAGAGGUUCGAAGGCGAUCAGAUACCGCCCUAGUUCUAACCAUAAACGAUGCCAGCUAGCGAUCCGCCGAAGUUCCUCCGAUGACUCGGCGGGCAGCUUCCGGGAAACCAAAGCUUUUGGGUUCCGGGGGAAGUAUGGUUGCAAAGCUGAAACUUAAAGGAAUUGACGGAAGGGCACCACCAGGAGUGGAGCCUGCGGCUUAAUUUGACUCAACACGGGAAACCUCACCAGGCCCAGACACCGGAAGGAUUGACAGAUUGAUAGCUCUUUCUUGAUUCGGUGGGUGGUGGUGCAUGGCCGUUCUUAGUUGGUGGAGCGAUUUGUCUGGUUAAUUCCGAUAACGAACGAGACUCUAGCCUGCUAAAUAGGCGUACCUUAUGGUAUCGCGAAGGCCCCCGGCUUCGGCCGGUGGGUUUUUACUACCAACGUACAAACAAAUCUUCUUAGAGGGCACAGGCGG
rnacentral:rRNA from 1 species